rfam:Gossypium raimondii Chr06_contig_386, whole genome shotgun sequence.
AGGUGCGAUCAUACCAACCUAAUUCACUGGACCCCUCAGAACUCCACAGUUAAGAGUGAUUGGGCAAGAGUACUACUAGGAUGGAUGACCUCCUGGGAUGUCCUCAUGUUGCACCCC